CAGCUAUGGCCGCCGCCCCUCCCGCUCAGCCCGCUGCUCCCACUGCUAUCCCAGAACAACCCCCCAAUCAAAUCCUCUUCCUCACCAAUUUACCCGAGGAGACUAACGAAAUGAUGUUGUCCAUGUUGUUUAAUCAAUUCCCUGGAUUUAAGGAAGUUCGUUGUGCCGGGUCGUCAUGACAUCGCUUUUGUCGAGUUCGAGAAUGAGGUUCAGUCAGGUGCUGCAAAGGACGCGCUGCAGGGAUUCAAAAUCACUCCAAGCAAUGCCAUGAAGAUCUCUAUGCAAAAAAGUAGAACUGUUGCUGGUCUGUUGCAUAAUCCUCGAUCAUGUAAUCAUGUCAUUUAGGACCAUUUUCGUUCAUUCAUUGACUCUAGUUGCUGACAUUGCACUUUUGUCAGAUUUAGCACUAUAAGAGUUCCAUUUUGGAUGGUGGCAGUUAUUUUUUAUAUUAGCAUCAUGGUUUAAUAACUUGUUAAUGGAGUAUUCUUUUAUGACAAAGUUAAGUCUCUACUACUUGUCACUAUCAAGAAAUGGGGCUCGCUCACCAACAUUGCACCUCAGUUGAUUCAUUCAGACAUUGCACCCAAGUUUGGAAUGAAAUGUCAACAUUGCACUGAGGUUGGUAAAGUUGUUAAGUAUAUGUUAAACUGAAUAAAAAAAUCAAAACAAG
rnacentral:misc_RNA from 1 species